rnacentral:rRNA from 1 species
UACGGAGGGGGCGAGCGUUAUUCGGAAUUACUGGGCGUAAAGCGCGUGUAGGCGGCCCUGCAAGUCGGAUGUGAAAUCCCACGGCUCAACCGUGGAAGUGCAUUCGAAACUGCAGGGCUAGAGUCCUGGAGAGGAAGGUGGAAUGCUUGGUGUAGAGGUGAAAUUCGUAGAUAUCAAGCGGAACACCGGUGGCGAAGGCGGCCUUCUGGACAGUGACUGACGCUGAGACGCGAAAGCGUGGGGAGCAAACAGG